rnacentral:rRNA from 1 species
GCGGCGGACGGGUUAGUAACGCGUGGGAACGUGCCCUUCACUACGGAAUAGUCCCGGGAAACUGGGUUUAAUACCGUAUACGCCCUUCGGGGGAAAGAUUUAUCGGUGAAGGAUCGGCCCGCGUCUGAUUAGAUAGUUGGUGGGGUAACGGCCUACCAAGUCUACGAUCAGUAGCUGGUUUGAGAGGAUGAUCAGCAACACUGGGACUGAGACACGGCCCAGACUCCUACGGGAGGCAGCAGUGGGGAAUCUUAGACAAUGGGCGCAAGCCUGAUCUAGCCAUGCCGCGUGAGUGAUGAAGGCCUUAGGGUCGUAAAGCUCUUUCGCCAGGGAUGAUAAUGACAGUACCUGGUAAAGAAACCCCGGCUAACUCCGUGCCAGCAGCCGCGGUAAUACGGAGGGGGUUAGCGUUGUUCGGAAUUACUGGGCGUAAAGCGCGCGUAGGCGGAUUAGUCAGUCAGAGGUGAAAUCCCAGGGCUCAACCCUGGAACUGCCUUUGAUACUGCUAGUCUUGAGUUCGAGAGAGGUGAGUGGAAUUCCGAGUGUAGAGGUGAAAUUCGUAGAUAUUCGGAGGAACACCAGUGGCGAAGGCGGCUCACUGGCUCGAUACUGACGCUGAGGUGCGAAAGUGUGGGGAGCAAACAGGAUUAGAUACCCUGGU